rfam:Acinetobacter sp. ANC 4603 Contig4, whole genome shotgun sequence.
UGCUGGUUGCUUCGCAAUUGUAAUCUACAAACCCCGCCAGGACCGGAAGGUAGCAACGGUAGUAGACCUAUGAUGUGCCGGAGUCUUGCUGGUAGGG